rnacentral:snRNA from 1 species
AUCUUUAUGCAGGGGCAUUACGUGUUUCAGUGAGGAUUCGUCCGAGAUCAUGUUUUUGCUGGUUGAAAACUAUACCUGACAACUCUUUGGAGGACGGGCUUGCCUGUUUGCCAAAGGAAUUUUUGGAUCACACAAUG